rnacentral:lncRNA from 1 species
GUGCGUGCUAGGAUUUUUCCUUAUAAAGUACUCAAUUUCUCAUUUUAUUUAAUCUUUAUUAUAUGUUUAUUGUUUGUUUAAUAUAAAGUUAACAAAAUAUUGAGGUGUAUACAUUUUUACCUAACUUAUUUUUAACGGCAUAAAUUGGACAAACAAAUUGUUGAGGUGGAAAGCAAUUAUUUUUCUGUUAAUAUUGACCUAUUAAGUCUUACCUCCUAAACAAAAUCAGAAUAAUUAAAUGUAAUGGACCCACUGAUGUGCACACAAUCAUUUUGAAACAGAAUUUAAAGUACAAACAUCCUUGUCUUUUUUUUUUUUUUGUUUCUUUUUUUGCUAUUGUAACGUUGUACCAGUGUAGAUGGUCUCCAACAGACUCAGAAAGUAUGUUUUAGCCAGAGCCACUACGCCACCAGUAGUGUUUCCGCAUACCGUAAUUUGCAUAAACAUGAGUAAUUUAUGAAUAAUAAAUGCCCUAGCAUUCAGCUGGAGCUGAUAAUUUGCAUAUCACUGCCGCCUUAGUGCCGUGUUAUCAUGAAGCCCUUCAAGCCUGCAUAAACCAAAAUCAAAGAACUAGUGCUUUAACAGGCCAACCCCACCGCCCUGCCCAUCCCCGAGCUCACACUCACCAGCAGAACUGGCUGAAUGUUGUUGAUUUCCUGACCCAAGUGGAUGCGGAUCAGCGGAAAGGCCCCGACAACUCCUUCUCUGCCAGACCAAGGAGCUCAUCUCAGAACCUUCGUCCAAAACUUUGACCACACAGACACCAGGAUGAGACUCUGAUGGAAGGGGCCAGAGAGAGAGCAAAGUCCCUUGAUGUUCAAAAUAAAUCUGACAGGCCCUACUGGAGUCGAGCAAAGGAGGCUUCUACUUGUUGAGAGUCACUGGGGGAAGCAGUGUCCGGGGGCGGGGGGGGGGUCAGUUUCCCCCGGGACCGCUGUAAAGGACUCCGGCGGCCCUCCAACCGCGCCCUCUGAUGGGCUGUAGUCAGAGGUCAAAGGUCAUUUGAAGCAACAUGGUAUGAAUAUGUAACCUUGUGACACACAAGCUGGAUCAAAAGACAAAUGGACUCUCUGAAGGAGAUCAUGAUUGGAUCCUAAAUACGGGCAAAGUGACCUAAUUCUCAGAAGCUUCGGACAAAUCGGUUUCUCCAAUGUGAUGGCUUGUUUAUUUCAAUUUAUUGACUUGAACACGUUCCAAUAUUUUUUUUCUUUCUCCUUAUGCAGUCAAAACAACCAAAAAAAUAAAACCUGCAAAAAACAAAUACAUAAACACAACCCAAAAGUCGUUCAUUGUUCUCAGGCUACGAACUAAUUUUCUCCUUUAACCAGAGCAAUGCUCAGAAUUCACACCUCACAUUCCACUCGCCCUCACAGUUCCUGAAAACAAUGCCUUUAAAUUGUCUUAAUUUGAGCAUAGACUGGUUUUACAGCUGUGCGUGGGAGGAGCUGGAGGUUGAAGUGCUCCAUGAAUGAGAUGUGAAUUAUCUUCCUAAUGAAAUAUAAUACUGAAAAUGAACUCUGCUGGACCUAAGGCACGCAGAACAAUAAGGAGAGAUGAAGAAAAUGAAGCAGUUGCGUUUGCGCAUGUGCCUCUGUGUGUACGGUCUCAAAUUUGUGCAUGUUUUAAAAGUGCAUGCAAUUGCUAAAAUGCAUAAAAGUUAUGUUUAAAAAAAAUAAAACUGUGUUCAUUCUUUUAUUGAAGUGGAAAUCCCCAAGAAUACAAAAUGAUGCACACUGCACUUCCUUUGUCCUACUUUAAGCCCCACUUUUGCUGGAGUGCAGCAAAGUGCCUGCAACGAAGAAGAAUGGAUGAAGACGGCAUUGACUUUCCCCCAAUUUUUUUUAAUAAACUGUCAGUCACCUGCAGCAGUGACUGACACUGAUAUCAUAUGAUGCAGCAUUCCAUAUAAAAGAUCUCUUAUUCUUCUUCCGGCUCAAUCUGAGGCCUGUCCUCCCUUCGUAUU